GCACAACGCGAAGAACCUUACCCACCUUUGUACAUGUACGGAAUCCUUUAGUAGAUAGAGGAGUGCUCGAAAGAGAGCCGUAACACAGGUGCUGCAUGGCUGUCGUCAGCUCGUGUCGUGAGAUGUUGGGUUAAGUCCCGCAACGAGCGCAACCCUUGCCAUUAGUUGCUACAUUUAGUUGAGCACUCUAAUGGGACUGCCGGUGACAAACCGGAGGAAGGUGGGGAUGACGUCAAGUCCUCAUGGCCCUUAUAGGUGGGGCUACACACGUCAUACAAUGGCUGGUACAAAGGGUUGCCAACCCGCGAGGGGGAGCUAAUCCCAUAAAGCCAGUCGUAGUCCGGAUCGCAGUCUGCAACUCGACUGCGUGAAGUCGGAAUCGCUAGUAAUCGUGAAUCAGAAUGUCACGGUGAAUACGUUCCCGGGUCUUGUACACACCG
rnacentral:rRNA from 1 species